rnacentral:lncRNA from 1 species
CCUUGUUCUUACUCUGCAGCCAUGGUGGCAGCUGUCCUGUCCAACGAUCGUGAGUACAUCCUUAUCCUCGACCUCCAAACCCUCUCCAAUGCCUACUGCUACUGCCGUCAACAGGGUAUGACUCUGGCAACAUUCAGAGAUGAGACUGACCUGGGCCUUGCUGCCUCCCUCUGUCACAACUGCACUGUCUGGAUUGGGCUAUACAAUCUUUUUACGUGGUUUUGGAUUAACAGUGACCCAUAUAGGUUCCAGAAGUGGGGUCCAGGACCCAUAACAACAUACCCUUGUGUGGUUAUGAAAAACGGCUUGUGGUAUCGAGAGAAUUGUCAGCAGAGACAUCUUUUUGUGUGUUACAGAGAGGUUAUCCACCUCCGCAAAGCUUCACCAAGUCUAUCUGCCACCUUGAGGCAAAGGAUGCGGCUCAGAGUCACCCCAAACCCACCAAAUAAUUUUGGCACCUGA